AUACAUGCAGUCGAACGAAGGCUUCGGCCUUAGUGGCGCACGGGUGCGUAACGCGUGGGAAUCUGCCUUGGGGUUCGGAAUAACUUCUGGAAACGGAAGCUAAUACCGGAUGAUGACGUAAGUCCAAAGAUUUAUCGCCCUGAGAUGAGCCCGCGUCGGAUUAGCUAGUUGGUGGGGUAAAGGCCUACCAAGGCGACGAUCCGUAGCUGGUCUGAGAGGAUGAUCAGCCACACUGGGACUGAGACACGGCCCAGACUCCUACGGGAGGCAGCAGUAGGGAAUAUUGGACAAUGGGCGAAAGCCUGAUCCAGCAAUGCCGCGUGAGUGAUGAAGGCCUUAGGGUUGUAAAGCUCUUUUACCCGGGAUGAUAAUGACAGUACCGGGAGAAUAAGCCCCGGCUAACUCCGUGCCAGCAGCCGCGGUAAUACGGAGGGGGCUAGCGUUGUUCGGAA
rnacentral:rRNA from 1 species